GACGAACGCUGGCGGCGUGCUUAACACAUGCAAGUCGAACGGAAAGGCCUGUCCUUCCUUGUGUUGGACGGGUACUCGAGUGGCGAACGGGUGAGUAACACGUGAGUGAUCUGCCCCCAACUUGGGUUUAAGCCUGGGAAACUGGGUCUAAUUCCCGAUAGGACUGCAGGGUGGUGCCUGUGGUGGAAAACGAUUUUCUAGUGGUUGGGGAUGAGCUCGCGGCCUAUCAGCUUGUUGGUGGGGUAAUGGCCUACCAAGGCGGCGACGGGUAGCCGGCCUGAGAGGGUGGACGGCCACAUUGGGACUGAGAUACGGCCCAGACUCCUACGGGAGGCAGCAGUGGGGAAUAUUGCACAAUGGGCGGAAGCCUGAUGCAGCGACGCCGCGUGGGGGAUGACGGCCUUCGGGUUGUAAACUCCUUUCGACCGCGAGGAAGCCGCCUGGUUGGAAGGGUGGUGACGGUAGUGGUAGAAGAAGCACCGGCUAACUACGUG
rnacentral:rRNA from 1 species